rnacentral:rRNA from 1 species
GAGCGGCGGACGGGUGAGUAAUGCUUGGGAAUAUGCCUUAGGGUGGGGGACAACAGUUGGAAACGACUGCUAAUACCGCAUAACGUCUACGGACCAAAGGGGGCUUCGGCUCUCGCCCUUAGAUUAGCCCAAGUGGGAUUAGCUAGUUGGUGAGGUAAUGGCUCACCAAGGCGACGAUCCCUAGCUGGUUUGAGAGGAUGAUCAGCCACACUGGAACUGAGACACGGUCCAGACUCCUACGGGAGGCAGCAGUGGGGAAUAUUGCACAAUGGGCGCAAGCCUGAUGCAGCCAUGCCGCGUGUGUGAAGAAGGCCUUAGGGUUGUAAAGCACUUUCAGUAAGGAGGAAAGGUUAGUAGUUAAUACCUGCUAGCUGUGACGUUACUUACAGAAGAAGCACCGGCUAACUCCGUGCCAGCAGCCGCGGUAAUACGGAGGGUGCGAGCGUUAAUCGGAAUUACUGGGCGUAAAGCGUACGCAGGCGGUUUGUUAAGCGAGAUGUGAAAGCCCCGGGCUCAACCUGGGAACUGCAUUUCGAACUGGCAAACUAGAGUAUGAUAGAGGGUGGUAGAAUUUCAGGUGUAGCGGUGAAAUGCGUAGAGAUCUGAAGGAAUACCGAUGGCGAAGGCAGCCACCUGGGUCAAUACUGACGCUCAUGUACGAAAGCGUGGGGAGCAAACGGGAUUAGAUACCCCGGUAGUCCACGCCGUAAACGAUGUCUACUAGGAGCUGGGGUCUUCGGACAACUUUUCCAAAGCUAACGCAUUAAGUAGACCGCCUGGGGAGUACGGCCGCAAGGUUAAAACUCAAAUGAAUUGACGGGGGCCCGCACAAGC